rnacentral:rRNA from 1 species
UGGGGAAUAUUGCACAAUGGGCGCAAGCCUGAUGCAGCCAUGCCGCGUGUAUGAAGAAGGUCUUCUGGUUGUAAAGUACUUUCAGCGGGGAGGAAGGGAGUAAAGUUAAUACCUUUGCUCAUUGACGUUACCCGCAGAAGAAGCACCGGCUAACUCCGUGCCAGCAGCCGCGGUAAUACGGAGGGUGCAAGCGUUAAUCGGAAUUACUGGGCGUAAAGCGCACGCAGGCGGUUUGUUAAGUCAGAUGUGAAAUCCCCGGGCUCAACCUGGGAACUGCAUCUGAUACUGGCAAGCUUGAGUCUCGUAGAGAGGGGUAGAAUUCCAGGUGUAGCGGUGAAAUGCGUAGAGAUCUGGAGGAAUACCGGUGGCGAAGGCGGCCCCCUGGACGAAGACUGACGCUCAGGUGCGAAAGCGUGGGGAGCAAACAGG